rnacentral:rRNA from 1 species
CGGACGGGUGAGUAACACGUGGAUAACCUACCUAUAAGACUGGGAUAACUUCGGGAAACCGGAGCUAAUACCGGAUAAUAUAUUGAACCGCAUGGUUCAAUAGUGAAAGACGGUUUUGCUGUCACUUAUAGAUGGAUCCGCGCCGCAUUAGCUAGUUGGUAAGGUAACGGCUUACCAAGGCAACGAUGCGUAGCCACCUGAGAGGGUGAUCGGCCACACUGGAACUGAGACACGGUCCAGACUCCUACGGGAGGCAGCAGCU